UCUGAACCUUCGGGGAACGAUAACGGCGUCGAGCGGCGGACGGGUGAGUAAUGCCUGGGAAAUUGCCCUGAUGUGGGGGAUAACCAUUGGAAACGAUGGCUAAUACCGCAUAAUAGCUUCGGCUCAAAGAGGGGGACCUUCGGGCCUCUCGCGUCAGGAUAUGCCCAGGUGGGAUUAGCUAGUUGGUGAGGUAAUGGCUCACCAAGGCGACGAUCCCUAGCUGGUCUGAGAGGAUGAUCAGCCACACUGGAACUGAGACACGGUCCAGACUCCUACGGGAGGCAGCAGUGGGGAAUAUUGCACAAUGGGCGCAAGCCUGAUGCAGCCAUGCCGCGUGUAUGAAGAAGGCCUUCGGGUUGUAAAGUACUUUCAGCAGUGAGGAAGGUGGUAGUGUUAAUAGCACUAUCAUUUGACGUUAGCUGCAGAAGAAGCACCGGCUAACUCCGUGCCAGCAGCCGCGGUAAUACGGAGGGUGCGAGCGUUAAUCGGAAUUACUGGGCGUAAAGCGCAUGCAGGUGGUUUGUUAAGUCAGAUGUGAAAGCCCGGGGCUCAACCUCGGAAUAGCAUUUGAAACUGGCAGACUAGAGUACUGUAGAGGGGGGUAGAAUUUCAGGUGUAGCGGUGAAAUGCGUAGAGAUCUGAAGGAAUACCGGUGGCGAAGGCGGCCCCCUGGACAGAUACUGACACUCAGAUGCGAAAGCGUGGGGAGCAAACAGGAUUAGAUACCCUGGUAGUCCACGCCGUAAACGAUGUCUACUUGGAGGUUGUGGCCUUGAGCCGUGGCUUUCGGAGCUAACGCGUUAAGUAGACCGCCUGGGGAGUACGGUCGCAAGAUUAAAACUCAAAUGAAUUGACGGGGGCCCGCACAAGCGGUGGAGCAUGUGGUUUAAUUCGAUGCAACGCGAAGAACCUUACCUACUCUUGACAUCCAUAGAACUUUCCAGAGAUGGAUUGGUGCCUUCGGGAACUAUGAGACAGGUGCUGCAUGGCUGUCGUCAGCUCGUGUUGUGAAAUGUUGGGUUAAGUCCCGCAACGAGCGCAACCCUUAUCCUUGUUUGCCAGCGAGUAAUGUCGGGAACUCCAGGGAGACUGCCGG
rnacentral:rRNA from 1 species